rnacentral:lncRNA from 1 species
AUGGUCAGGCUGUGUGAGUACCGGAGAGGCUUGGUGACUGGGAAUCUUUUCUUUCUCCUAGCUGAGUUCCUGUUCUGGGCUUCAUUCUGCAUGACCCAUCUCAGCAGGAGGGCCAGGGACCUCAUCCUCUAUGGCACCAAGGAAUUCAGCUUCCUGCAGCUCUCAGAUGCCUACAGGGCCCCUGAGAAUUAUGCUAAAUCUCUUCAGCCUGUGCUCAAUAAAUGGAAGAACAAAGGUUGGAUGACAGCACAUCUGUUUACAGCAUGGCUUACUGACAAUUUUAAGCCCACUGUUAAGACCUACUGCUGAGGAUCCAAGAUGACUGAAUAGGAACAGCUCCAGAAUGCAGGUCCCAGCAAGAACAAUGCAGAGGGUGAGUGCCCACCACAUUUCUGAAGAAAUUUUCAUUGCCCACAGACCAGGAGAUUCCUGGGCAAAAAGCACCACAAGUUUUCAGCACGGUGGUGUCAGUUGGUGCUGGGUUGGCACACAGAAACUCAAAAAAGUCUGGGUGGCCGUUUCAACUGGUGCCUGAUGGUUUCUGUAACUCUAUAGUACGUUUAAAGUCUGGUAAUGUGAUUCCUCCAGUUUUGUUCUUCUUCCUUAGGAUAACUUUGGUUAUUCUGGGUCUUUUGUGGUUUCAUAUACAUUUCAGCAUUGUUUUUUUCUAUUUCAGUGAAGAAUGUUACUGGUAUUUUGAUAGGGAUUGCACUGAAUCUGUAGAUUGCUUUAGGUAGUAUGUGUU